GCCGGGUGCGGUGGCAUGUGCCUGUAAUCCAAGUCACUGGGAGGCUGAGGUUGGUGGAUCAAGUGAGCUGAGGAGCUCUGGGCUGCAGCACUGUAAGUCGAACGGGUGUCCACGCUAAGUUCGGUAUCGAUAUGGUGUUCCAGGGGGAGCCCGGGACCACCAGGUUGUCUAAGGAGGGGUGAACCGUGUAGGUUGGAAACGAAGCAUGUAAAUCCCCCGUGCUGUCCAGUAGUGGGAUAAUACCUGUGAGUAGAUGCUGCAGUGCAGCCUUGGCAAAACAUUGAGACCUAAUCUUUU
rnacentral:SRP_RNA from 1 species